rnacentral:rRNA from 1 species
CGGUUAAGUUAGAAAGGGCGCACGGUGGAUGCCUUGGCACUAGGAGCCGAUGAAGGACGGGACGAACACCGAUAUGCUUCGGGGAGCUGUAAGCAAGCUUUGAUCCGGAGAUUUCCGAAUGGGGAAACCCACCACUCGUAAUGGAGUGGUAUCCAUAUCUGAAUACAUAGGAUAUGAGAAGGCAGACCCGGGGAACUGAAACAUCUAAGUACCCGGAGGAAGAGAAAGCAAAUGCGAUUCCCUGAGUAGCGGCGAGCGAAACGGGACCAGCCCAAACCAAGAGGCUUGCCUCUUGGGGUUGUAGGACACUCUGUACGGAGUUACAAAGGAACGAGGUAGAUGAAGAGGUCUGGAAAGGCCCGCCAUAGGAGGUAACAGCCCUGUAGUCAAAACUUCGUUCUCUCCUGAGUGGAUCCUGAGUACGGCGGAACACGUGAAAUUCCGUCGGAAUCCGGGAGGACCAUCUCCCAAGGCUAAAUACUCCCUAGUGACCGAUAGUGAACCAGUACCGUGAGGGAAAGGUGAAAAGCACCCCGGAAGGGGAGUGAAAGAGAUCCUGAAACCGUGUGCCUACAAGUAGUCAGAGCCCGUUAACGGGUGAUGGCGUGCCUUUUGUAGAAUGAACCGGCGAGUUACGAUCCCGUGCAAGGUUAAGCAGAAGAUGCGGAGCCGCAGCGAAAGCGAGUCUGAAUAGGGCGAAUUGAGUACGUGGUCGUAGACCCGAAACCAGGUGAUCUACCCAUGUCCAGGGUGAAGUUCAGGUAACACUGAAUGGAGGCCCGAACCCACGCACGUUGAAAAGUGCGGGGAUGAGGUGUGGGUAGGGGUGAAAUGCCAAUCGAACCUGGAGAUAGCUGGUUCUCUCCGAAAUAGCUUUAGGGCUAGCCUCAAGGUAAGAGUCUCGGAGGUAGAGCACUGAUUGGACUAGGGGCCCCUACCGGGUUACCGAAUUCAGUCAAACUCCGAAUGCCGAUGACUUAUCCUUGGGAGUCAGACUGCGAGUGAUAAGAUCCGUAGUCGAAAGGGAAACAGCCCAGACCGCCAGCUAAGGUCCCAAAGUAUACGUUAAGUGGAAAAGGAUGUGGAGUUGCUUAGACAACCAGGAUGUUGGCUUAGAAGCAGCCACCAUUUAAAGAGUGCGUAAUAGCUCACUGGUCGAGUGACUCUGCGCCGAAAAUGUACCGGGGCUAAACGUAUCACCGAAGCUGCGGACUGUUCUUCGAACAGUGGUAGGAGAGCGUUCUAAGGGCUGUGAAGCAAGACCGGAAGGACUUGUGGAGCGCUUAGAAGUGAGAAUGCCGGUAUGAGUAGCGAAAGAGGGGUGAGAAUCCCCUCCACCGAAUGCCUAAGGUUUCCUGAGGAAGGCUCGUCCGCUCAGGGUUAGUCGGGACCUAAGCCGAGGCCGAAAGGCGUAGGCGAUGGAUAACAGGUUGAUAUUCCUGUACCACCUCCUCACCAUUUGAGCAAUGGGGGACGCAGGAGGAUAGGGUAAGCGCGGUAUUGGAUAUCCGCGUCCAAGCAGUUAGGCUGGGAAAUAGGCAAAUCCGUUUCCCGUGAAGGCUGAGCUGUGAUGGCGAGCGAAUUAUAGUAGCGAAGUUCCUGAUUCCACACUGCCAAGAAAAGCCUCUAGCGAGGUGAGAGGUGCCCGUACCGCAAACCGACACAGGUAGGCGAGGAGAGAAUCCUAAGGUGAUCGAGAGAACUCUCGUUAAGGAACUCGGCAAAAUGACCCCGUAACUUCGGGAGAAGGGGUGCUCUGUUAGGGUGCAAGCCCGAGAGAGCCGCAGUGAAUAGGCCCAGGCGACUGUUUAGCAAAAACACAGGUCUCUGCGAAGCCGUAAGGCGAAGUAUAGGGGCUGACGCCUGCCCGGUGCUGGAAGGUUAAGAGGAGCGCUUAGCGUAAGCGAAGGUGCGAAUUGAAGCCCCAGUAAACGGCGGCCGUAACUAUAACGGUCCUAAGGUAGCGAAAUUCCUUGUCGGGUAAGUUCCGACCCGCACGAAAGGCGCAACGAUCUGGGCACUGUCUCAACGAGAGACUCGGUGAAAUUAUAGUACCUGUGAAGAUGCAGGUUACCCGCGACAGGACGGAAAGACCCCGUGGAGCUUUACUGCAGCCUGAUAUUGAAUGUUGGUACAGCUUGUACAGGAUAGGUAGGAGCCUUGGAAACCGGAGCGCCAGCUUCGGUGGAGGCAUCGGUGGGAUACUACCCUGGCUGUAUUGACCUUCUAACCCGCCGCCCUUAUCGGGCGGGGAGACAGUGUCAGGUGGGCAGUUUGACUGGGGCGGUCGCCUCCUAAAAGGUAACGGAGGCGCCCAAAGGUUCCCUCAGAAUGGUUGGAAAUCAUUCGCAGAGUGUAAAGGCACAAGGGAGCUUGACUGCGAGACCUACAAGUCGAGCAGGGACGAAAGUCGGGCUUAGUGAUCCGGUGGUUCCGCAUGGAAGGGCCAUCGCUCAACGGAUAAAAGCUACCCCGGGGAUAACAGGCUUAUCUCCCCAAGAGUCCACAUCGACGGGGAGGUUUGGCACCUCGAUGUCGGCUCAUCGCAUCCUGGGGCUGUAGUCGGUCCCAAGGGUUGGGCUGUUCGCCCAUUAAAGCGGUACGCGAGCUGGGUUCAGAACGUCGUGAGACAGUUCGGUCCCUAUCCGUCGCGGGCGCAGGAAAUUUGAGAGGAGCUGUCCUUAGUACGAGAGGACCGGGAUGGACGCACCGCUGGUGUACCAGUUGUUCUGCCAAGGGCAUCGCUGGGUAGCUAUGUGCGGACGGGAUAAGUGCUGAAAGCAUCUAAGCAUGAAGCCCCCUCAAGAUGAGAUUUCCCAUUCCGCAAGGAAGUAAGAUCCCUGAAAGAUGAUCAGGUUGAUAGGUCUGAGGUGGAAGUGUGGCGACACAUGGAGCUGACAGAUACUAAUCGAUCGAGGACUUAACCAAUUU